UCCGUAGGUGAACCUGCCGAAGGAUCAUUG
rnacentral:rRNA from 1 species